rnacentral:rRNA from 1 species
AGAGUGAACGCUGGCGGCAGGCCUAACACAUGCAAGUCGAACGGCAGCACAGGGGAGCUUGCUCCCUGGGUGGCGAGUGGCGGACGGGUGAGGACAACGUCGGAAUCUGCCUUUUUGUGGGGGAUAACGUAGGGAAACUUACGCUAAUACCGCAUACGACCCCGGGCCGGGAGGUUCGGGGUGAAAGCGGAGGACCUUCGGGCUUCGCGCAGAAAGAUGAGCCGACGUCGGAUUAGCUAGUUGGUGGGGUAAAGCCCACAAGGCGACGAUCCGUAGCUGGUCUGAGAGGAUGAUCAGCCACACUGGAACUGAGACACGGUCCAGACUCCUACGGGAGGCGACGAGUAGGGAGAAUUGUAGAAUAGGCGGCGAAGACC